rnacentral:rRNA from 1 species
UACGGGGGGUGCGAGCGUUGUCCGGAAUCACUGGGCGUAAAGGGCGCGUAGGUGGCUCGAUAAGUCUGCUGUGAAAGUCCAGGGCUCAACCCUGGAAGGCCGGUGGAAACUGUCGGGCUAGAGUCCGGAAGAGGCGAGUGGAAUUCCCGGUGUAGCGGUGAAAUGCGCAGAUAUCGGGAGGAACACCAAUGGCGAAGGCAGCUCGCUGGGACGGUACUGACGCUGAGACGCGAAAGCGUGGGGAGCAAACAGG